rnacentral:rRNA from 1 species
GAUGAACGCUAGCUACAGGCUUAACACAUGCAAGUCGAGGGGUAACGAGAGGGAAGCUUGCUUUCCUUGUCGACGACCGGCGCACGGGUGAGUAACGCGUAUCCAACCUGCCCCCAACUAGGGAAUAACCUUGCGAAAGUAAGACUAAUACCCUAUAAUUUCCUCAGAUGUCAUCUGACGAGGAAUAAAGAUUUAUCGGUUGUGGAUGGGGAUGCGUCUGAUUAGCUUGUUGGCGGGGUAACGGCCCACCAAGGCAACGAUCAGUAGGGGUUCUGAGAGGAAGGUCCCCCACAUUGGAACUGAGACACGGUCCAAACUCCUGCGGGAGGCAGCAGUGAGGAAUAUUGGUCAAUGGGCGGAAGCCUGAACCAGCCAGGUAGCGUGCAGGAUGACGGCCCUAUGGGUUGUAAACUGCUUUUAUACAGGAAUAAAGUUAGCCACGUGUGGUUAUUUGUAGGUACUGUAUGAAUAAGGACCGGCUAAUUCCGUGCCAGCCGCCGCCGUAA